rnacentral:rRNA from 1 species
UACGAAGGGGGCUAGCGUUGCUCGGAAUCACUGGGCGUAAAGCGCACGUAGGCGGACUCUUAAGUCGGUGGUGAAAUCCUGGAGCUCAACUCCAGAACUGCCUUCGAUACUGGGAGUCUCGAGUUCGGGAGAGGUGAGUGGAACUGCGAGUGUAGAGGUGAAAUUCGUAGAUAUUCGCAAGAACACCAGUGGCGAAGGCGGCUCACUGGCCCGAUACUGACGCUGAGGCGCGAAAGCUAGGGUAGCAAACGGG